AAAAUGCGAAAAGUCGUGUGACCUGCAUGCUUCGUGAAUCAUCAAAUCUUUGAACGCAUCUUGCACCGUCUGGUCUCGCCAGUCGGUAUACUUGUUUGAGUAUCACAUACUAUACUACAUCUGUCCCCCAUGGGGAGUGUGGCCUGUGUCUUGACGUGGGGAGGACACACACGGGUCGGUGGACAGGACAUGGCCGUGUGCUCUCUGUCAUCAUUGAGAGAUGGUGAUGGGGCACUGGGCUGAAAUGCAGCACAGGUGCGAGUGCACCACUGGGAUAACAUCCAGCGGUGGUGCCGUGAUGGGGAGCACGCCUGUGUGACAGUCUCGACAUGCAUGCAUGCACAGUGAUGUGUGAGUGAGACAUGUCUUGGUCAGCAAUGAUUGAGGCCUUGCUGUUGAUCUCAAAUCAAGUAAGAGGACCCGCUGAACUUAA
rnacentral:misc_RNA from 1 species